rnacentral:lncRNA from 1 species
AGCGCAAAAAGAGACGCAUGCAUACCUACACGUGCGUUUGUCAAUUUAUCAUUGAAAGCACUGCACAGAUCCUACAACCGAAAGCCACUACUACGCCACCCGCUACCAUUCUCGGUGCGACCGUUGGUAAGGGUUCCCCAGCAAGUGAACCCCAAAUGAGCGAGCGUAUGGCGGAUGCAAAGCGAUGAUGGUGAAAACGACUGCGUCCAGGGGGAAGCAUCUGACGGUAAACUAUCGUUCAUGACUACGUCUUGCGCAAAAACCAGGGAGGAGUGACCCGACAUGGAAGUGCUUCUUAACGGAGAGUCAAUUGUCGUGCACGUGAUGGUGCAUGAAAAGCAGGUCGGCAGAGUCUUCCCUUCAGCGGAAGAGAAAUGCAUCAGUACCACUCAGCACUUUCGGGUACUAAAAACUCCUCUGAAUACAUUAGAAAGCAGGGAACACCUGCGGAGAAUGUUCCAUGGAUGACGUUUCCCCCCUCAUAUCCUAGCCGGUUGACCCGUUCCUUCUGUGCCCCGUUGAUCUGACUCUUUUAACGGCUACACUAUGCUGGCUGUCUUCCUCUCACUAAGAUCUUGAACGUUUGUGUUUACCUGAUCGAAGUCCUACUGUGAAAGCAUUGUUCCGAAAGCGAUAGGUGUACCUGUGAGUCUUCCCGGCUGCGCCUUGAAUUUUGUCCGUGUGCUCUAAAUAUAAAUUCAAUGUAUACUCUUGGGUUCUUGAUUGCUAUAACUGUUGUACUCCAAAUAAUCACGGGAACCACUCGAGCAUAUACAUUUCCGUCACUGUCCCUCUGCCCCCCUGCCCGGCUUGCAGCAGUCUUUCCCCG